rnacentral:misc_RNA from 1 species
GUAGGUGAACCUGCGGAAGGAUCAUUAUUGAAUCCAAAGGAUGUUGCUGGCCUCUCGGGGCAUGUGCACUCCACCUUUUCAAUACACCUGUGAACAUAUUGUAGGUGCAGAUGUAAAAAGUCUGUCGCCUAUGUUUUUAAUACACCCUUAAAAAAAGUCUAUUGAAUGUCUAAUGGUGGCCUUUGAUGGUCAACAAACUUAAUACAACUUUCAACAAUGGAUCUCUUGGUUCUCGCAUCGAUGAAGAACG